rnacentral:rRNA from 1 species
GGAUAAUCUACCCGACAGUCAGGGAUAACAUUUCGAAAGGAAUGCUAAUACCUGAUAAGCCUACGCCCUCCUCGGAGGAAGUAGGAAAAGGUGGGGACCUUCGGGCCUGCCGUUGUUGGAUGAGUCCGCGGCCCAUUAGCUAGUUGGUAGGGUAAUGGCCUACCAAGGCUACGAUGGGUAGCUGGUCUGAGAGGAUGAUCAGCCACACUGGAACUGAGACACGGUCCAG